rnacentral:misc_RNA from 1 species
UAAAGAAGAUCCCCCAGCAUAUGGUAAGAUCUCUUUACUUUUUCUUUUCUUUCCCUGGAUUAGUCAGUAACUCAGCAUCUCCUCUACGGGUACGUUUUAAUUUGGUAUAUUUUGUGUAACUGUCCAAUGAAAAAGAUUUUAAUUAAUUAGAAUAAUGAAAUUUGAUAUAGGAAACAAUAGAAAAUAACAUUUAAGAAGCAAGAGAAGGUAAGAAAGCUAAAUAAAAGGAAGAGUUAAGCUGUUGAUGAUUAACUUAACUCUGCAAUUCAUCUUGGAAGUCCUUUUAUUGGCUUUAUGUUGGAUCUAUUAUUUAUAUUUUUGAGGAGCUUAUUCUCAAAGAUUAUUUACAUUCUUAUAUGUACUUAGAACCAUUUUUGUUGGCUGCUUAUUGGAGACCAAGGGAAUGAAGAAUGCCAUGGAGCAGUGCUAAGAUGUGUCAUGGGAUGUUCUCUUUAGAAACAUAGUAGUAGUAGAAAAGCAGUCUUAUUACCGGCUUUAGAUUCUGGGUAUGUAGCCCUAAACCAAGUGGAAUGGAAAAUGAGUCCAUGUAGCCAACUCCAACCACCUUGGGAUUAGUGUUUUGUUGGGUUUAGUUGAGUUGAUUUUAAUAUGCUAUAAUGCUAUUAUACAUUUAUAGUCAAUUUAACUCUUCAUGGUUCUGAUCAGUGAAACUUCUGUCUUAUC